rnacentral:rRNA from 1 species
GACGAACGCUGGCGGCGUGCUUAACACAUGCAAGUCGAACGGAAAGGCCCUGCUUUUGUGGGGUGCUCGAGUGGCGAACGGGUGAGUAACACGUGAGUAACCUGCCCUUGACUUUGGGUAACUUCAGGAAACUGGGGCUAAUACCGGCUAGGAGCUCCUGCUGCCUGGUGGGGGUUGGAAAGUUUCGGCGGUUGGGGAUGGACUCGCGGCUUAUCAGCUUGCUGGUGGGGUAGUGGCUUACCAAGGCUUUGCCGGGUAGCCGGCCUGAGAGGGUGACCGGCGACAUUGGGACUGAGAUACGGCCCAGACUCCUACGGGAGGCAGCAGUGGGGAAUAUUGCACAAUGGGCGGAAGCCUGAUGCAGCAACGCCGCGUGCGGGAUGACGGCCUUCGGGUUGUAAACCGCUUUCGCCUGUGACGAAGCGUGAGUGACGGUAAUGGGUAAAGAAGCACCGGCUAACUACGUG